rnacentral:rRNA from 1 species
AUUGAACGCUGGCGGCAGGCCUAACACAUGCAAGUCGAACGAGUGGCGGACGGGUGAGUAAUGUCUGGGAAACUGCCCGAUGGAGGGGGAUAACUACUGGACACGGUGGCUAAUACCGCAUACCAUCGGAUGUGCCCAUAUGGGAUUAGCUAGUAGGUGGGGUAACGGCUCACCUAGGCGACGAUCCCUAGCUGGUCUGAGAGGAUGACCAGCCACACUGGAACGGAGACACGGUCCAGACUCCUACGGGAGGCAGCAGUGGGGAAUUUUGCACAAUGGGCGCAAGCCUGAGGAAGCAAGGCCGCGUGAGUGAAGAAGGCCUUCGGAUUGUAAAGUACUUUCAGCGGAGAGGCGUUACUCGCAGAAGAAGCAACGGCUAACUCCGUGCCAGCCGCCGCGGUAAUUC